rnacentral:rRNA from 1 species
AACGGUCAGUAGCAAUACUGAUAGUGGCGCACGGGUGCGUACCACGUAACUACCUUACCCAUCAUUGGGGGAUAGCCCGCCGAAAGGCGGAUUAAUACCGCAUAAGACUAUAGAGCGGCAUCGCUUAGUAGUUAAAGAUUUAUUGAUGAUGGAUGGGGUUGCGGGUCAUUAGCUAGUUGGUAAGGUAACGGCUUACCAAGGCGACGAUGACUAGGGGAGCUGAGAGGCUGGUCCCCCACACGGGCACUGAGAUACGGGCCCGACUCCUACGGGAGGCAGCAGUAGGGAAUAUUGGGCAAUGGGCGAGAGCCUGACCCAGCCAUGCCGCGUGCAGGAAGAAGGCUUUCUGAGUCGUAAACUGCUUUUGACAGGGAAGAAUAAGCUUCACGUGUGAAGUGAUGACGG